AAGUCGUAACAAGGUUUCCGUAGGUGAACCUGCGGAAGGAUCAUUACAGAGUAAACCUGAUGGGUUGCUGCUGGCUCUCUUGGGAGCAUGUGCACACUUGUCAUCUUUAUAUCUCCACCUGUGCACCUUUUGUAGAUCUGGAUAUCUUUCUGAAUGCCUGGCAUUCAGGUUUGAGGAUUGACUUUUGUCUUUCCUUACAUUUCCAGGCCUAUGUUUUCUUCAUAUACACCAUGUAUGUUAUAGAAUGUAAUGACAAGGCCUUUGUGCCUACAAACCUAUACAACUUUCAGCAACGGAUCUCUUGGCUCUC
rnacentral:misc_RNA from 1 species